AUCUUUAUUCUCUUGAAAGAGAA
rnacentral:snRNA from 1 species